GCAUCUCUUCACGCGGCAGGGUGAAAGCAACCCAUCUCAUUCCUUCCAUCCACUCCCCAAUGCCUCCUCCUCAUCCCCAGCUGGCGGCUCGACCUCUCGCGCCCUCGCCGCCAUCAACCUCUCGUGCCCUCACAUGCCAGCCGCCGAUCUCCCGCGCCCUCACCCGCCAGCAGCCGAAGUCGCUCUCCCCCACCGACCGCCGUGCUCGGGAUUUAUGGCUGCUCCUUUGCCUCGCCCAUCUAGAUCCGCCAUCGCCUCCCUCCCUUGCUGAUGUUCAUCUUAUCUAUUUAUGCAGGGGGGCUCGUCCUUCCGUGGUGCUCAGCCACCGUCCGAUUUGGAGGGAGAAUAGGAGACCCCAACGAAAACGAGCGUGCUAGCCGCGGACCCAAGGAUGCGCGGUGAUUGCGGCAGGUCCAUGCUCCAGUUCUUCUGUUGGAACUAGGAGGGUGCAGAUAAAUAAGAGUUGUUGGCAGCAGCAACCUACACAUGUGGAAACAGUGGCUAUGGCGGCUCAAAGGGAAGUUGUGGCUGCUAGAUAGCAACUCACAACUUAGUGUCGGCUCAAAGUACAUAUAAUCUAUUUCUUCUUGGAGCUAUCUACUAUCAUAUUAUGACUCGGUGCUAGCUGAAGCUUCUAUUUUCUCGCCUUUUGUGGUGGUGAUGAUUCCUUCAACUGCAAUAGUUUUUCUACAUGCCAUUGCUAUUCCUCAUGUUGCAACCUUUUCCCGUAGAAUCAAAAGGAAUUAGAUGGAAGAAAUUGCAGGAGAGCAGGAAGGGUAUUCCUGGUGUGACAUUCAAAGGCAGUCAAAACGGCGAGGUUUAGAACGGAGGAGUUCUGUGGAAUUAUGGAUAAAAAAUUAUCAAUAACAUGUCUGUCAUUGCUCAUGUCGACCAUGGUAUGUGACCGAGUGGUGACAGUUGUCUCUAAUUAUCAAUUUUAUAUAGAGUCUUCUUGAUUGAUGAUUUUGUAGCCUUCUCUUAGUUGUACCAUAUUAAUUCUUAAAACUGGAUCAUUUAAAAUUAGUUAGAUUUAAUGAGUUGUUUCACUGUUUUCAAAUAAGUAGUUUAAGCCCUUAUUGUGUUCUUGAGCCUAUUCUUUCUGCCUUUUUAUGAUUGAUUUAUGCUCUCACAAGCUUAAAUGUAACUAUUGACAUAUGAUCUCAUGGCUCAAAGUCUUAGUUGUUGAAUGUAUUAAAAUUUAUAAGAUCUGGAGUUUGCACUAUAUUUCAUCCAGCGGUAUUCCCAGUAACUGAAUGUUAAGAGCAUGACGAUCCCAGGUUGUACAUUCAGGUACUGGGAAAUGCUUUUAUCUUGUAGGCCAGUUUUACAUUUACUUUCUCAAUAACGAGAUGACCAUGAACAAGGUAUCAAGGUAUUUUCCUUGGCAUUAUUAACGUUGUGUUCAGAUUACUAAAAGAAGGAUUGAUAGAGGCAUACCUUAACUCGACUGAUGCUUUAACUGCUGCCUCUCUAAGCCUUGAUUAGCCAUGGAGAUACUCAAGUUCCAAAUCCCCAAGUGAGGCCAUCCUUCUAAGAUCCGUUCAACAGUUCAUUAAUUUGUUUGAAAUAUAUAUCUAUAUUCCAAUAUUGCUCAAUCUCCAGCUGGCCUCUAGGUUAUCAGAUGAAAUCCGGUUAAAUUUUAGGGAGGUUGAGUAGGAGUGUUUGGAACUAAAGGCUUUGUUGUUGUUGUUUGAGUAGAAGUAUCUCCCUUUUCCGUAUAAAUUUUGUUGCUAUGAAUAGUUGCAUUGUUACGUCAGUGAAAACUUCCUGCGCGUACUAUGUGUUCCUCUAGACUUGAUUGAAAGUAUACCUUAUGUUAUCCAGUUUCUCACUACACAUGUUACCUUUGUUGCUGAAUUUUGCCUAUUGUUUAUAUAUAGUAGACUCACAUGAUUACCUGAUGACUCAUUCACGCAAGAACUAUUGUUAAUUUUUUCCUUUUCUGCAAUGAUGGUCGUAGCCCUUUGAUUCUACAAGCCGCAAAGGAGUGAAGUGUAGAAAAUAUGUCCAUUGUCGUUGAAUUGGUGGGAUUGUCACCAAGUUAGUGCUGCAGAUUGUUUCUAUUUUAGAGCAAGAAGCCAAAUCAUGUAGUUCAUUGUAAAUCUUGAAAAACUUGUUUAUUGUCACUUCUAUAUCUGUUAUAAACUUUUUUUCGUGAUGUGGUA